rnacentral:rRNA from 1 species
AUUGAACGCUGGCGGCAGGCCUAACACAUGCAAGUCGAACGAGCGGCGGACGGGUGAGUAAUGUCUGGGAAUCUGCCUGAUGGAGGGGGAUAACUACUGGAAACGGUAGCUAAUACCGCAUACCAUCAGAUGCGCCCAGAUGGGAUUAGCUUGUAGGUGAGGUAACGGCUCACCAAGGCGACGAUCCCUAGCUGGUCUGAGAGGAUGAACAGCCACACUGGGACGGAGACACGGCCCAGACUCCUACGGGAGGCAGCAGUGGGGAAUAUUGCACAAUGGGCGCAAGCCUGAUGCAGCCAUGCCGCGUGUAUGAAGAAGGCCUUCGGGUUGUAAAGUACUUUCAGCGGGGAGGCGUUACCGACAGAAGAAGCACCGGCUAACUCCGUGCCAGCAGCCGCGGUAAUAC